GUAGGGAAUAUUGGGCAAUGGAUGCAAGUCUGACCCAGCCAUCCCGCGUGCCGGAAGAAGGCCCUCAGGGUUGUAAACGGCUUUUGACGGUGAAGAACCGACAGGAUGCGUCCUGUUUUGACGGUAGCCGUUGAAUAAGCACCGGCUAACUCCGCGCCAGCAGCCGCGGUAAUACGGAGGGUGCGAGCGGUGUCCGGAGUUAUUGGGUUUAAAGGGUGCGUAGGCUGGAAGGUCAGUCAGCGGUGAAAAGCUGUCGCGUAACGAUAGUCUUGCCGCAGAUACUUCCUUUCUUGUAUGAGGAGGAGGCCACUGGAACGGAUGGUGUAGCGGUGAAAUGCAUAUAUAUCAUCCAGAACACCGAUUGCGAAGGCAGGUGGCUGUACCUUAAUCGACGCUGAUGCACGAAAGCAUGGGGAGCAAACAGGAUUAGAAACCCUUGUAGUCC
rnacentral:rRNA from 1 species